UCCUACGGGGGGCAGCAGUGAGGAAUAUUGGUCAAUGGUCGGGAGACUGAACCAGCCAAGCCGCGUGAGGGAUGAGGGUACAGAGUAUCGUAAACCUCUUUUGUCAGGGAACAAAGGCGGGGACGUGUCCCCGGAUGCGUGUACCUGAAGAAAAAGCAUCGGCUAACUCCGUGCCAGCAGCCGCGGUAAUACGUAGGGUGCGAGCGUUAAUCGGCAUUACUGGGCGUAAAG
rnacentral:rRNA from 1 species